GUAGGUGGCAAGCGUUGUCCGGAAUUAUUGGGCGUAAAGCGCGCGCAGGCGGUUCUUUAAGUCUGAUGUGAAAGCCCACGGGCUCAACCGUGGAGGGUCAUUGGAAACUGGAGAACUUGAGUACAGAAGAGGAAAGCGGAAUUCCACGUGUAGCGGUGAAAUGCGUAGAGAUGUGGAGGAACACCAGUGGCGAAGGCGGCUUUCUGGUCUGUAACUGACGCUGAGGCGCGAAAGCGUGGGGAGCAAACAGGAUUAGAUACCCUGGUAGUCCACGCCGUAAACGGUGAGUGCUAAGUGUUAGGGGGUUUCCGCCCCUUAGUGCUGCAGCUAACGCAUUAAGCACUCCGCCUGGGGAGUACGGCCGCAAAGGCUG
rnacentral:rRNA from 1 species